rnacentral:rRNA from 1 species
AUACGGAGGGGGCUAGCGUUGUUCGGAAUUACUGGGCGUAAAGCGCACGUAGGCGGCUUUGUAAGUCAGAGGUGAAAGCCUGGAGCUCAACUCCAGAACUGCCUUUGAGACUGCAUCGCUUGAAUCCAGGAGAGGUCAGUGGAAUUCCGAGUGUAGGGGUGAAAUUCGUAGAUAUUCGGAAGAACACCAGUGGCGAAGGCGGCUGACUGGACUGGUAUUGACGCUGAGGUGCGAAAGCGUGGGGAGCAAACAGGAUUAGAAACCCUAGUAGUCC